rnacentral:rRNA from 1 species
UUGCCUCAGUAACGGCGAGUGAAGCGGCAAUAGCUCAAAUUUGAAAUCUGGCUCUUUCAGAGUCCGAGUUGUAAUUUGUAGAGGAUGCUUCGGCUUACGUCUCGGUCUAAGUUCCUUGGAACAGGACGUCACAGAGGGUGAGAAUCCCGUUUGUGGCCGUGACUUCCGCCAUGUGAAGCUCCUUCGACGAGUCGAGUUGUUUGGGAAUGCAGCUCUAAAUGGGAGGUAUAUUUCUUCUAAAGCUAAAUACCGGCCAGAGACCGAUAGCGCACAAGUAGAGUGAUCGAAAGAUGAAAAGCACUUUGGAAAGAGAGUUAAAAAGUACGUGAAAUUGUUGAAAGGGAAGCGCUUGCGACCAGACUUGCCCGCGGAUGCUCAACCGGUCCUUCGGCCGGUGCACUCUUCCGCGGUCAGGCCAGCAUCAGUUCGAGCGGUCGGAUAAAGGCCUUGGGAAUGUGGCUCUCUUUGGGGAGUGUUAUAGCCCUUGGUGCAAUACGGCCCGCCUGGACUGAGGCCCGCGCUUCGGCUAGGAUGCUGGCGUAAUGGUCGUAAGCGGCCCGUCUUGAAACACGGACCAAGGAGUCUAACAUCUAUGCGAGUGUUUGGGUGUCAAACCCGUGCGCGAAAUGAAAGUGAACGGAGGUGGGAACCUUAGGGUGCACCAUCGACCGAUCCUGAUGUCUUCGGAUGGAUUUGAGUAAGAGCAUAGCUGUUGGGACCCGAAAGAUGGUGAACUAUGCCUGAAUAGGGUGAAGCCAGAGGAAACUCUGGUGGAGGCUCGCAGCGGUUCUGACGUGCAAAUCGAUCGUCAAAUUUGGGUAUAGGGGCGAAAGACUAAUCGAA